AGACAGAGGGUGCAAACGUUGUUCGGAAUUACUGGGCGUAAAGCGCGUGUAGGCGGCUGUGCAAGUCGGAUGUGAAAGCCCUUGGCUCAACUGAGGAAGAGCAUUCGAAACUGCGCAGCUUGAGUUCUGGAGAGGAUGGUGGAAUUCUCGGUGUAGAGGUGAAAUUCGUAGAUAUCGAGAGGAACACCAGUGGCGAAGGCGGCCAUCUGGACAGAAACUGACGCUGAGACGCGAAAGCGUGGGUAGCAAACAGGAUUAGAUACCCUGGUAGUCCACGCCGUAAACGAUGGGUGCUAGGUGUCGGGGGCUAUGACCCCCUCGGUGCCGAAGCAAACGCAUUAAGCACCCCGCCUGGGGAGUACGGCCGCAAGGCUAAA
rnacentral:rRNA from 1 species